rnacentral:rRNA from 1 species
GCAAGUCGAGGGGUAACGGAAGUAGCUUGCUACUAGACGACGACCGGCGCACGGGUGAGUAACGCGUAUGUAAUCUGCCUUGUACAGAGGGAUAGCCCAGAGAAAUUUGGAUUAAUACCUCAUAGUAUUACUGGAUCGCAUGAUUUGGUAAUUAAAGCUCCGGCGGUACAAGAUGAACAUGCGUGACAUUAGCUAGUUGGUAAGGUAACGGCUUACCAAGGCUACGAUGUCUAGGGGUUCUGAGAGGAUGAUCCCCCACACUGGUACUGAGACACGGACCAGACUCCUACGGGAGGCAGCAGUGAGGAAUAUUGGUCAAUGGACGCAAGUCUGAACCAGCCAUCCCGCGUGAAGGAUGACUGCCCUAUGGGUUGUAAACUUCUUUUAUAUGCAAAUAAACCUACUUUCGUGAAAGUAGCUGAAGGUAGCAUAUGAAUAAACACCGGCUAACUCCGUGCCAGCAGCCGCGGUAAUACGGAGGGUGUAAGCGUUA